UUACUUAACUGGACAUGGUCAAUGGGCGAUCAAGAAGGCUCAUGGCCUAGGCUGAUGACCUCCAUUGCACUCGGAGUAGUGCCAGCCUAAGAUCGGCCCAAGUGGUCUAGCCUGGCAUAAGUUAUUUGUGGCCUGCAUUCGUGUGGAGCAUAU
rnacentral:snRNA from 2 species